rnacentral:rRNA from 1 species
CUUUACUGUAGCCUGGUAUUGGGUUCGGGCUUGGCUUGCGCAGGAUAGGUGGGAGACGUUGAAGCGUCCCUUGUGGGGGAUGUGGAGUCAACGGUGAGAUACCACUCUGGCUUGGCUAGAAUUCUAACCGCUUGCCGUUAUCCGGCAGCGGAACCGUAUCAGGUGGGCAGUUUGACUGGGGCGGUCGCCUCCUAAAUUGUAACGGAGGCGCGCAAUGGUUCCCUCAGGCUGGUUGGAAAUCAGCCGAAGAGUGUAAAGGCAAAAGGGAGCUUGACUGCAAGAGGGACAUCUCAAGCAGAGACGAAAGUCGGCCUUAGUGAUCCGACGGCUUGUGCGUGGAAAUGCCGUCGCUCAACGGAUAAAAGUUA